rnacentral:rRNA from 1 species
GACGAACGCUGGCGGCGUGCCUAACACAUGCAAGUCGAGCGAGUGAAUCUCCUUCGGGAGUGAAGCUAGCGGCGGACGGGUGAGUAACACGUGGGCAACCUGCCUCAUAGAGGGGAAUAGCCUUCCGAAAGGGAGAUUAAUACCGCAUAAGAUUGUAGCUUCGCAUGAAGUAGCAAUUAAAGGAGCAAUCCGCUAUGAGAUGGGCCCGCGGCGCAUUAGCUAGUUGGUGAGGUAAUGGCUCACCAAGGCGACGAUGCGUAGCCGACCUGAGAGGGUGAUCGGCCACAUGGGGACUGAGACACGGCCCAGACUCAUACGGGAGGCAGCAGUGGGGAAUAUUGCACAAUGGGGGAAACCCUGAUGCAGCAACGCCGCGUGAGUGUUGACGGCCUUCGGGUUGUAAAGCUCUGUCUUCAGGGACGAUAAUGACGGUACCUGAGGAGGAAGCCACGGCUAACUACGUGCCAGCCGCCGCGGUAAUAC